rnacentral:lncRNA from 10 species
ACAGCAUGAGGGCAGCCAUCUGCAAGCCAGGAAGAGGGUCUUCACUAGAACCUGACCAUGCUGGCACCCUGAUCUCAGACUUCUGGCCUCCAGAACUGUGAGAAAAUUAAUGUCCAUUGUUUAAGCCACCCAACUUAUGCUGUGUGUGUGUGUGUGUGUGUGUGUGUGUGUGUAUGGAGAGAGAGAGGGAGAGAGAGAGAGAGAGGCAAGGUCUCACUUUAUUACCCAGGCUGGAGUGUGGUGGCACAAUCAUAUCCCACUGCAGCCUCAACCUCCUGGGCUCAAGCAAUCCUCCCACAUCAAACUCCCAAGUAACUGGAACUACAGGCACGUGCCACCCACCAUGCCUGGCUAAUUUUUUUUUUUUUUUUUGGUAGAAAGUGUCUCACUAUGUUGCCUAGGCUGUAAACUGAGUAUCUUCAACUGCUAUCUAAGAUUCACCUCUUCCCCAUUCUCUGCUUUUUCCCUAUAGCACCUACAUUCUUCCAAUUUGCUAAAUGAUUCCCUAAUUUUUUAAUGUUUAUCUCUAGACAGGCUCCUGAUUCAUGAAAGACAGAAACAAAUAUUUGCUGGAUAAAUGAAUGAAUGAAUAAGUGGUCUCUUUUUCUGAGAGAGAUAUGGGGAAUCUCACUAAGUUGCCCAUGCUGAACUUGAAUUUCUGGGCUCAAGCAAUCCUCCCACCUCAGCCUCCUGAGUAGCUUGGACUACAAGUGUGCACCACUGUGCCUUGCUCGAAUGAAUGAUCUUUAUGUCUCAUGGUGACUCUAUGAUUAGUAAUAUCAUUCACUCUAUUUAAAGAGGGGUAAACUGGACUGGGUAUGGUAGCCCAUGCCUUAAUCCCAGCACUUUGGGAGGCCACAGUGGGCGGAUCACCUAUGGUCAGGAGUUCGAGACCAGCCUGGUCAACAUAGUAAAACCCCAUCUCUACUAAAAAUACAAAAAUUAGAUGGGCGUGGUGGCAUGCGCCUGUAGUCCCAGCUUCUUGGGAGGCUGAGGCAGGAUAAUCGCUUGAACCUGGGAGGCAGAAGUUGCAGUGAGCCAAGAUCACACCACUGCACUCCAGCCUGGGUGACAGAGCAAGACUUCCUUUCAAAAAGUAAAAAGAUGGAGAAACUGAGGCUCAGACACCUGAAGCAAAUUGCCCAGGAUCACACAUCCAAGAAGUGGGGAAGCCCGGAUUCUUACUUGGGGGUGCCUGGCUGCAAACUCCAAGCUCCCCCAUGCCCACAUCUAGGCGGGACUGCAGGACAAGCAUCACCAGGGUGCAGUUUAGAGGAAUGGCCUUGAAAUGAGUGGCAAAUCCUGCUCAGCCCCCAGACCCAAGAAGACCUUGGGCAUGUUCCUUGUCCUCAGCCCGCUCACCUGGAAAGGGCACCUCCUGGAUUUAUCCAAAGAUGCUUUCCUGCACUGAACAUCUCGGAAGAUUUGUGUACGAUUGAACCAUCACCAAGUGCCAAGCACAGCACUAAACACCCUAAAUACAUUCCCUCUCCUAAUCCUCAUGAGGCGGGUACCAUUCAUAGCAGUUUCACAGAUGAGGAAACCGAGGCACCGAGCAGUCACAUGACUUGCUCUAGGUCACACGUCUAGUGGGUUCCAAAGCCACAUUCCAGCAGGUGGCCCGGAGGCCCUCCCUCUCAACCUCAUAGCUGUGCAGCCUCCAGGCAAAGCCUUUUCCCAAAGUCCUGCUCAGCCACCAGGUCCAGAGGACCUUGGACGGGUUCCUUGUUCUCAGCCUGCUCUCCCAGAAAGGGUACUGUUUGGAUUCACUCAAAGAGCCUUUCCCGCACUCAACAUUGCGUAAAAUUCAUGAGCAAUUAACUGGUGGCUCCCCUUCCAUGUUAAGAAAUACUAAACUCAAGCUGUUAAGGAGACACAGAGCGGAAUACGAGAAAGUCAGAGUCAGGUUCGGCCCAACGCAGUGGCUCACGCCUGUAGUCCCAGCAUUUUGGGAGGCCUAGGUGGCCAGAUAACUUGAGGACAGGAGUUCGAGACCAGCCUGGCCAACAUAGUGAAGUUCUGUCUCUACUAAAAAUACAAAAAUUAGCUGGGUGUACUGGCGCACACCUGUAGUCCCAGCUACUUGGGAGGCUGAGGCAGGAGAAUCACUUGCACUUGGGAGGUGGAGGUUGCAGUGAGCCGAGGUCAUACCAAUGCACUCCAGCCUAGGCGACAGAGUGAAUGAGACUGUCUCAAAAGAUAAUAAUAAAAUAAAAAAUAAAAUAACUGCUUUAUCCCAGUAUUAAAAUAUUAGUACUUACUGGUUUUUUAAUCAAUGUAGGGUAGUAACAGGCAUUAUAUCUUCUUCCCAAAUGUUAUAUUUAAUAUUGUUAAAUGUUUGUGGUUAUUAAAUGUUAAAAGUAACGAUACUGUCCGGGCACAGUGGCUCAUGCCUAUAAUCCCAGCACUUUGGGAGGCUGAGGCGGGCAGAUCACGAGGUCAGUAGAUCGAGACCAGCCUGGCCAAGAUGGUGAAACCCCAUCUCUACUAAAAAUACAAAAAUGAAAUGAACCCAUCCAUAGGUUACAAAGCACAAAGUUAAACUAGGACCAUUAGCUCCUGAAAAAAAAAAAAUGCCCAGAUACGUUUUUGGAAAUGGAGAAAGACCUGGAAAAGAAUGUGACUAAAUUGUUUUGAUCAGUCCUAUCCUAUAAGACCUAGCAAAAAAAAAAAAAAUUGUUUUGAAAGCUGGGUUUCAAAUGUGGGACAAUUAAGCUAUGUAUUUGUAAACAUGGCUAUUGAAAAGAAUGUAUGACUUUCCUCCCAAUUAAAAUACCAUGCAAAUGUGAUGCAAAUGUGUAAGGCUGAGCUUUGUCAGCUAAAACUAAUUAACAGAACAACUCAAAUGAUAUCAUUUCUAGGUGAAUUUGUUUGUGAUCAGACCAUUUUCUUUUUUUUUUUUUCAGACAGAGUCUAGCUCUGUCGCCAGGCUGGAGUGCAGUGGCGCAGUCUCAGCUCACUGCAACCUCUGCCUCCCGGGUUCAAGUGAUUCAGGAGUUCGAGACCAGCCUGGCCCACAUGGUGAAACCCCGUCUCUACUAAAAAUACAAAAAACCAGCCAGGCGUGGUGGGAUGCAUCUGUAGUUCCUGCUACUCGAGAGGCUGAGGCAGGAGAAUCGCUUGAACCCGGGAGGUGGAGGUUGCAGUGAGCCAAGAUCGUACCAUUGGACUCCACCCUGGGUGACAAGAGUGAAACUCUGUCUCAAAAAAAAAAAAAAAAAGAUUCUAUGACAUAAAAAUCUGGUAUGAGGUAGUGCAGGGCUGGUGUGAUGGGUCCACAGUAUCAGGAAAACGACUUUCUUCUGUCUUGUUGCAUGUUCUUCAUUCUCCAUUCCGAAAACGACGUCUUGUUCCAGAUGGCUGCUCCGUCUCCAGCCAUUGCACCUGCAAUCCAGAUCAGUGGAAGGCGGAAAGAGGAGAAAUAGGGCAACACUCUCAAGGACUUUCCCACAGUUUUACCCACAUCCCAUUGGCCAGAACGUACCACAUGGCCACACAUAGUUGCAAGGGAGGCUGGGAGAUGUAGUCAUUAUUCAGUGUAGCCAUUUGCCCCAGCUGAAAACCAAGUGAGAAUGGGUCUUGAGGGAUCAUGAGUAUGAAGUCUUUGCCACAGGUAGAUCCUAUCUUUAAUCCCCUUUUACAAACGAGGAAACUGAGAAGUUAGUGACCUGAUCAAAGUCACAGUGUGAAUAGGUGAUGAACUGCAAAAUAUUUUGUGACACUUUUCUUCAUGCACCUUACAUUAGUAAAGUCUUAGUUAUUAACCCUUCAACAUUGCCCAGGAGACAAAAACACCACUUUGGCUGGGCGCAGGGCUCACGCCUGUAAUCCCAGAACUUUGGGAGGCUGAGGCACGUAGAUCACUUGAGGUCAGGAGUUCGAGACCACCCCGUCUCUACUAAAGAUACAAAAAUUAGCCAGGCAUGGUGGUACUCGCCUGUAAUCCCAGUUAUAUGGGAGGCUGAGGCAGGAGAACACUUGAACCCUGGAGGCAGAGGUUGCAGUGAGCUGAGCUCACGCCACUGCACUCCAGCCUGGGUGACAGAGCGAGACUCCAUCUCAAAAAAAAAAAAAAAAAAAAGAAAAACGCACAUUUAAAAUUUUGUUCUUUAUACUGAAGUCAUUGCUUAUUUUAUCAAAUAGAAAUUUUUCAGGGCAGCUAUGCCUGAGGCAGAGAACGUGUGCAGACUUAACAGAAAGAUGGGGUUUCUCUAUCUCCGGGGAAAGGAGGGCAAAGGGGUCCACCACGCUCAUGCCCACGGAGGGCUUAGGGGUCUGCCUUGCUCAUGCCCACGGAGGGCUUGUGAGCUGCUCCGAUGCCGCUUUCCCCCAUCCAGGCAGCGCUCCCUGUGGCCAUAGCUGCAGCAUUACUGCCCUCUACAGGCCGCCUGGAGCCCCGACAUGGGAGUUCAACCACAGCUGCGUCUACGCCAGGGACAGGGGACAGAGAAAUGGAGCCCCUCCUUCCCACCUUGCUCGUGGCAAGCAUGGGGAAACUUCAGUGGGAAGAGCGAAAAAGGAGAGAAAAGUGGGGAGAUCGAUGAGGAAAGAUCAUGAUUGUGAGAAGCGUGGGAGCAAAUUGGGGAGCGGGUCAGGGAGGAACAUGGGAAUCAGGACUACGUGGCUUUGAGGAGUCACACGGGGGGCUACCUUCCCCCACAUGCCAGAAAAUCCAGACUGCAGAAGCCCAUUUAGGCACUGUCUCUCCUGCCCAGCCGGGCCCCACCAGCUCACUCAUUGCCAGCUCCACGUCAGCCCCUCUCUUGUAUCAAGCACUGUGCCAGGGAUGAAGGAUGCAAUGGUUCAAGAGAGAGAGGGUCCCCACCCAACCCCUAAAAAGGGAGCAGGACAAUGACACCUAGAAUUCAAUGAAUAAUAAGCUGGGACAAGCAUGAUGAAGGCAAAGAAUGGGGGGAAGGUGGGAAAAUUCGCAGGGGCCUGGGUGGGACCUGGUUUGAAACAAAAGCUGAAGAUGGAUGAGGACCCGACCAGGGGAAGAUGGAGUGGGAGAGGGGCAAGGGGAGCCCCCAAGACCGAGGGACCAGCAGGUGCAAAGACUCCAGGUGAGCUAGGACUGAGCCUGCCCAUGGAGAGGAAGCGGGGCCAGGGUGGCAGGGGCAAAGUGGACACUCCAGAGAGCCAUGGGCAGGGACGGUGUCCCAAUCAGGUCUAUACUUAGGAAGGUUUAGAUUUAGAUUUCCAUGGCUUCUGGGUGGAACACGGGUUGGGAGCAGGCAGGACAAGAACUUGUGAGGAGGUCACUGCAGAUGUUGGGUGAGGGGGGACGUUGGCCUGAACUAGGUCAAUUGUGGAGGGGUGAAGAGAGGCGGGUGGACUCGAGGGCUAUUGGGACAAUGAAAGCCAGAGGACUGUGUCUACACAACAGGAGGCCCCACAUGGAGGGAUUAAGAGUGUGGGCUCAGUCCGCUGUGGUGUCUGACGCCUGUAAUCCCAGCACUUUGGGAGGCGGACUCAGGAGGAUGGUUUGAGACCAGGAUUUUUUUUUUUUUUUCGAGACAGAGUCUCACUCUGUUGUCCAGGCUGGAGUGCAAUGGCACGAUCUCAGCCCACUGCAACCUCAGUCUCCCAAGUAGCUGGGACUACAGGCACGUGCCACCACAUCAGGCUAAUUUUUGUAUUUUUAGUAGAGACUGGGUUUCACCAUGUUGACCAGGCUAGUCUUGAACUCCCA